UACGUAGGUGGCAAGCGUUGUCCGGAAUUACUGGGCGUAAAGGCCAGUAGGCGGCCAACUAAGUCCGACGUGAAAUCCCCAAGCUUAACUUGGGAACUGCGUCGGAUACUGGAUGGCUUGAAUUCGGGAGAGGGAUGCAGAAUUCCAGGUGUAGCGGUGAAAUGCGUAGAUAUCUGGAGGAAUACCGGUGGCGAAGGCGGCAUCCUGGACCGACAUUGACGCUGAACGGCGAAAGCUAGGGGAGCAAACGGG
rnacentral:rRNA from 1 species